ensembl:lncRNA
CAGGUGUGGAGGAGAGGGGGGAGCUUCAAUGAUAACUCAUGCCAGGAAUUUAAAUUUCAUGUUAAAUAUGGACUAUAACUGAGACUCUGCAGUGUUUGAACUGAGCGUGUUGUUUUUAAAUUCCUGACCAAAGACGUGCAUAUUGUUUCUUGAUAGACAUGCACAUUGUGUAUUGAUAGAACUUCAUUCUAUCUGUGAUGUUGCUUUAAAAAACUGCUUUUUGCUACAUAUGUAGUUGCACUGUCUCCUUGUUUUAUCUCCCUUUGGUUCUUGUUUGUCUAUAGAUCUAUUGCACCACAUAUUUUAACAUUGUAUUGUAUGUUACAACAUAUUGUAACAUAAUAUCUCUGGGAAAAGCUAAAAGCAGCUCACAAAUGUGCACUUUCUCCCCCAGCUGGUAAGGGUGGUGGUUUACAAGUAGCAAUUCCUAAAAUGACUUGAAUGCUGUAUUCAGAAGACAAGUAACAGCAUAUACCAUUUUAUUCAUUUAGAUAACUGCCAAAAAAAUUUGAAACUACUGCAUUUAUCUGUUUUUCUAUCACAGGAGUGGCUGUCCUGAUGGAUUCUGAAUUUUCAUUUUAUUCCAGCUCUGCACAUGUGAUAGAUUCAUUUGACUUUUUUCCAACAUGUACAAAAAUGCUGAGUGCAAUUCAGAUCCAUGUUCCUCCUGUACAGUGCAGACAGACCUCAAUUGCAGCUUCCUUAAAAAGAACAUAUUGGAGAAAUCCCUUUAUGCUUCAAACUUCAGAGGCUGAGCAGCAGAAACAAAUGAAGAAUUACAGAACCUGGAAGGCUGGGGCACCCUCUCCAAUAUGGGCUCCCCAUGUAGCCUUUUUGACACCCUGACUACAUCCUGCAAUUAUACAGUAAGAUUAAUGAGAGUUCAGUAUUUCUUACCUGUGUUAAGUAACAUUAAGAAAUUAAAUGUUGGAUAUCACUGAAGUUGAAAAAGCAUGAAGGAGAGGUGUGCUGAUGUUAGAUAGUGAUGGCCUCCAGUAUUCAAGUCCGAUUACCAACUUUUUAGUUGUAUUUGUUUUUUGGUAACACUAAUCCAGGAAAGAAUAUGCUAAAAUACUGUGUUCUUCAAUCCUUGUGACCCACAUCACCCUGACCUUUCCAAAGCAAAUAUGACAAGCUUUUUCUAGUUCUCACUGGGAGGAGUUCAAUGGGAAAAAGAGACCAAUUUUAAACUGCUCCCACUUUUAUUCUUAUUCAUGUCACAUCAAAAGUAGUUUUCUACUUAAAAAAAGGAAGCGUAGGCACACUAGCUUCAAUUCCAGAAUGAAAAGCAGGUGAUAAUCAAUUCUCAAUACUGGCAUAGUUUUUCUUUCUUUUUUUUUUCUCCCCUCAUUUUUCCUAAAUGCCAACUUGUCCAGUAGUCAGCAGUGAGCAAUUUGAAGUGUGCAGGGAUCCAUUCAGAAAGCAUUUGCUAAGUAACAUUUUAAUUUAAACCACCUGUUUAUUUCCACGAGCUCUUCAUGGAACACUCGUUUGAGAACAACACAACCCUGUGUAGGACAGGAAAACCAAAACCUUUGUGAUUAGACAACAGAUUUGUUAGCAUAACGAAAACAUUCUAGUAUGCAAUAAUGCCUGUCAGGGGCCAGGUGUGACUUAGCUGUUCAGUGCCACUAAGCUCAACGUUACGUUUGUUUUUCUUGACCUUGAAUUUGACUGUGUGCCCAUAUAUACAUGACUUCAGCAGUGAACUUAAAUUACCUAAAGCAGCAUAAAAAUAGAAUACAGCACUGGCAUCUCUGGAAACAGUUGUGUUAAGAAUACUCCAUUUAUAUAAAUAGUUCUGACAGCGAUGUACAGUAAGUUCCUCUUGCUAUUCUACAAUGCACUCCUCAAGGAAAGGAAUCUUUAGGCAGAGUGAUUUGGCAAUGCACAUCAAAACCUGAGGCUCCAGCUUUGUCCUGCACAGCUCUCUGCUUUGCUAAUGAAAUCUGAUCAACAUUUAGCAAUACCCAGGUGCAAGAAAAUAUAUAAAGCAGUAGCAGGGAGUAGUAGAGAGAAAGGAAGCCUCUCACUGUUAAGGAAACCAAUGAAAAUAAACAUACUGUUGGACGCCA